UGUAGCUGUAUGAUUCAUCACCGUUUGCAGUUCGUCUUAUAAAAAAAAAAAGUUAAACCUUAUCAUCCCUAAAUUGUUACCACGCAAUGUAUCCAUUUCAUGUUGUUGCCUCUAGUUCACUCCCUUCCUUUCGAGAUCCUUCUUCUGCUCCUUCCAUCACUGUAUGUUGAAUUCUUACAUGCCCUGUUGAGGCUUCAAAAACAAGUACAUUUGAAAAAACAUUGAAUCUCAUAAUUUACAAAUUGAUUUUACUUAAUCAUUUACACUCACUCCCCCCCCCUUUGACACAUUCACACAAUGUGUUAAAUUGUGUCAUCAGGGAUCAAAAGGGACUAACAAAGUUUCUUAGAGCCCGUUUAACUCUCCUUUUAAUGGACACAACUCUCUGACAAGAUAAUUUCCACUGAGGUGUAAUUAACUAAUAACUAUUGUAUUGAUUAGGUACAUUGAGCAACCUAGCCCCCUUUUGACUGAAUUCAAUUGGGUCCAAAUGUCUUU